GAUGAACGCUAGCGGCAGGCCUAAUACAUGCAAGUCGGACGGGAUUCAGGAGCUUGCUUCUGCUGAGAGUGGCGCACGGGUGCGUAACACGUAUGUAACCUACCUUUAUCAGGGGGAUAGCCUCUCGAAAGAGAGAUUAAGCCCGCAUAAAAUCACAGCACAGCAUUGUGUAAUGAUCAAAUAUUUAUAGGAUAAAGAUGGGCAUGCGGAACAUUAGCUAGAUGGCGGGGUAACGGCCCACCAUGGCGACGAUGUUUAGGGGAUCUGAGAGGAUGGCCCCCCACACUGGUACUGAGACACGGACCAGACUCCUACGGGAGGCAGCAGUAAGGAAUAUUGGUCAAUGGGCGGAAGCCUGAACCAGCCAUGCCGCGUGCAGGAAGACGGCCCUACGGGUUGUAAACUGCUUUUAUACGGGAAUAAACCCAGAUACGUGUAUCUGGCUGAAUGUACUGGAAGAAUAAGGAUCGGCUAACUCCGUG
rnacentral:rRNA from 1 species